rnacentral:rRNA from 1 species
UGGGGAAUUUUGGACAAUGGGGGAAACCCUGAUCCAGCCAUCCCGCAUGUGCGAUGAAGGCCUUCGGGUUGUAAAGCACUUUUGGCAGGAAAGAAACGUCAUGGGUUAAUACCCCGUGAAACUGACGGUACCUGCAGAAUAAGCACCGGCUAACUACGUGCCAGCAGCCGCGGUAAUACGUAGGGUGCAAGCGUUAAUCGGAAUUACUGGGCGUAAAGCGUGCGCAGGCGGUUCGGAAAGAAAGAUGUGAAAUCCCAGAGCUCAACUUUGGAACUGCAUUUUUAACUACCGGGCUAGAGUGUGUCAGAGGGAGGUGGAAUUCCGCGUGUAGCAGUGAAAUGCGUAGAUAUGCGGAGGAACACCGAUGGCGAAGGCAGCCUCCUGGGAUAACACUGACGCUCAUGCACGAAAGCGCGGGGAGCAAACAGG